AUCAUAUACAGUGAUAUAUGACUGAGAAGUGGGCAAGCACUGAAAUAAACAUCUAAUAGGCUUCUAGUAUGUU